GAUGAACGCUGGCGGCGUGCCUAAUACAUGCAAGUCGAGCGAACGGACGAGAAGCUUGCUUCUCUGAUGUUAGCGGCGGACGGGUGAGUAACACGUGGAUAACCUACCUAUAAGACUGGGAUAACUUCGGGAAACCGGAGCUAAUACCGGAUAACAUUUUGAACCGCAUGGUUCAAAAGUGAAAGACGGUCUUGCUGUCACUUAUAGAUGGAUCCGCGCUGCAUUAGCUAGUUGGUAAGGUAACGGCUUACCAAGGCAACGAUGCGUAGCCGACCUGAGAGGGUGAUCGGCCACACUGGAACUGAGACACGGUCCAGACUCCUACGGGAGGCAGCAGUAGGGAAUCUUCCGCAAUGGGCGAAAGCCUGACGGAGCAACGCCGCGUGAGUGAUGAAGGUCUUCGGAUCGUAAAACUCUGUUAUUAGGGAAGAACAUAUGUGUAAGUAACUGUGCACAUCUUGACGGUACCUAAUCAGAAAGCCACGGCUAACUACGUG
rnacentral:rRNA from 1 species